GACGAACGCUGGCGGCGUGCUUAACACAUGCAAGUCGAACGGAAAGGCCCUGCUUUUGUGGGGUGCUCGAGUGGCGAACGGGUGAGUAACACGUGAGUAACCUGCCCUUGACUGUGGGAUAACUUCAGGAAACUGGGGCUAAUACCGGAUAGGAGCUCCUGCUGCAUGGGGGGGGUUGGAAAGUUUCGGCGGUGUGGGAUGGACUCGCGGCUUAUCAGCUUGUUGGGGGGGUAGUGGCUUACCAAGGCUUUGACGGGUAGCCGGCCUGAGAGGGUGACCGGCCACAUUGGUACUGCGAUACGCACCAGUCUCCUACGGUCGGCAGCAGUCGGGAAUAUUGCACAAUGGGCGGAAGUCUGAUGCAGCGACGCUGCGUGCGUGAUGACGGCCUUCGGGUUGUAAACCGCUUUCGCCUGUGACGAAGCGUGAGUGACGGUAAUGGGUAAAGAAGCACCGGCUAACUACGUG
rnacentral:rRNA from 1 species